rnacentral:rRNA from 1 species
AAUAGAUACCCGGGUAGUCCACGCCGUAAACGAUGAGUGCUAAGUGUUAGGGGGUUUCCGCCCCUUAGUGCUGCAGCUAACGCAUUAAGCACUCCGCCUGGGGAGUACGGUCGCAAGACUGAAACUCAAAGGAAUUGACGGGGGCCCGCACAAGCGGUGGAGCAUGUGGUUUAAUUCGAAGCAACGCGAAGAACCUUACCAGGUCUUGACAUCCCGCUGACCGCUCUAGAGAUAGAGUUUUUCCCUUCGGGGACAGCGGUGACAGGUGGUGCAUGGUUGUCGUCAGCUCGUGUCGUGAGAUGUUGGGUUAAGUCCCGCAACGAGCGCAACCCUUGAUCUUAGUUGCCAGCAUUCAGUUGGGCACUCUAAGGUGACUGCCGGUGAUAAACCGGAGGAAGGUGGGGAUGACGUCAAAUCAUCAUGCCCCUUACUGACCUGGGCUACACACGUGCUACAAUGGACGGUACAGAGGGUCGCAACCCCGCGAGGGUGAGCAAAUCCCAUAAAACCCGUUCUCAGUUCGGAUUGUAGG